rnacentral:siRNA from 1 species
GGACAUGGGCCUUAGUGGACAUG